ensembl:lncRNA
GAGGAGAUCAGUCAGGGCUGGGGUCAGUCUAAGUUGGGUGUUCUAUCUGGACCUCACAAUGCUCCAUGAUGUAAUCCUGAGUUCAUCUGGCACUCCAUGAUGUAAUCCUAAGUCACUCUGGCCUCAAGGACAAGAGUACCUGAGGACCAGGCACAAGUUCUUUUCACUAUUCCACCUAAUUUUAUAAAACAUGUCUGCUGAAUUUCCCUUCAGCAUGUGACAAUAAGCGUACCAUGGUCUUGUCUUUGAGUUGACAUCAUCUCCGAUGCUUUCAUUCGUUCCGAAGGGUACUAGCAGCAGAAGAUCAAGGCCCUGGAAGAGCUGCAUUUGUAACUCAGCCUGUGUGCUGCCUCUCCGGUCCAUAAACUGGUCCAUUCCCAUC